rnacentral:rRNA from 1 species
GAUGAACGCUGGCGGCGUGCCUAAUACGUGCAAGUCGAGCGAACGGACGAGAAGCUUGCUUUUCUGAUGUUAGCGGCGGACGGGUGAGUAACACGUGGAUAACCUACCUAUAAGACUGGGAUAACUUCGGGAAACCGGAGCUAAUACCGGAUAAUAUUUUGAACCGCAUGGUUCAAAAGUGAAAGACGGUCUUGCUGUCACUUAUAGAUGGAUCCGCGCUGCAUUAGCUAGUUGGUAAGGUAACGGCUUACCAAGGCAACGAUGCAUAGCCGACCUGAGAGGGUGAUCGGCCACACUGGAACUGAGACACGGUCCAGACUCCUACGGGAGGCAGCAGUAGGGAAUCUUCCGCAAUGGGCGAAAGCCUGAUGGAGCAACGCCGCGUGAGUGAUGAAGGUCUUCGGAUCGUAAAACUCUGUUAUUAGGGAAGAACAUAUGUGUAAGUAACUGUGCACAUCUUGACGGUACCUAAUCAGAAAGCCACGGCUAACUACGUG